AAGGAAAAGAAAAAAGUCUUAAGUAAAGAUUAGCAGACAACUUUCCCCACUAGAAAUUCUCAUUGAAAUGAUUACAUUUUGGCCAAGCAUGAUUUCAAACCGGAAAGAAAAUUACACAGCAAUAAAAUAUAGCAGCAUGAAAACUUACAUUUGUCUUCGGGGUCCACACAUGAGACACACUUGUUAUUCUGUGACUCGCUGCAUCUCUCGCAGUAAUUAAACUGGUGGAGAGUCCCCGCUUCUUGAUCUUCCACCAGCAUAAUAUGAUAGUAAUUUGCUUUCUGUUUUGCUGACUUCAAAAACUGCAUGCAAGGGCUGAGCCAGCUCCCGCACUGCUAGGAUCCUGUUGGCUUCCUCUGGCACGGCUCGGCUGGGUCCUUCCUCCCUGUGCAGCUCGCCUCAGCAGGCACACAUUUAGAAAUCAUUCACGAGCCCCUCGAAGUCGCACAAAAGAACUGCAUGGAAAGUAGGCAGAGCUGUCUGCACCAAGGGACUCCUGGUUUCCACGGGAAUGGAGUAGCUCUCUGGCUGCCUCGUUCACUUCAUCAGACCUCCCUCUAUCUGUAUGUCAUAAGCUGCAAGGUAGCAACAGCCAGGAGGGCGGACCAAAUAGGCUUUUUUUUCUCCCUCUUUUUGCUACAUAUUAACAUUGGGAAGUUUUCCUUUGCUUUUGAGAGAGAGAAACUGGAGAAAUGGCCUUUUGUGCAGAUUCCUGUUAAGGAAGUACCACUCAAAACUCAAACUCUCUGUCAAAGAAAAAUUGCACUAGAGUUAAACAGGCAAAGAAGACCUUAUUCAAGACUGCAAUAAGGGAGAGAGAUUGAGCUCAACUCAGCUGAAACAAAAGGCAGGUGAGUUUUUAAGCACUAGCCUGAGCUAGUGUGGUCUGACAACAUACGACAGCAUAUUUGUGUGAGGCUGGUGUGCACGAUUAGGUCAUCUAUAUUUGCUGAUUGGUGCUAAUGGAAUUUAGGUUGCUACUCUCCCAUAGAGACUGGGAGAUAGGGGUGCUGUCUUCCUUAAUGAUUACAUUUCAAAUGAAUGGCUCCCAGAUUUUUGAGAAAGAAGUUCCUGUGUUGUAAAACCAGCAAGAGUUUGGGAGAUUUAUGUUUAAGGGGACAGAGAAAAUACAAUUACAAACUUUCUAAAGUAAAUGUAGGAAAAGACAGGGGCCUGCAGUCAGGGGCAAAAAAAAACUGCCUCAAGUUUACUCAAGCUGAGAGGAAAUGUUAAGGCUGUUUGGUCACCCAGUGAGCCAUCCUUUCUGAUUAUCUCCAGGGAUGUGCUAAGUCCUGGUGGGUGAAAAGAGCCUGGCGCUCAGCUCAACAGCCCAACCCCAGCACUGGCUAAAGCAUCAGGAUCUUUCUAACACAGAACUCGUCAUUGGGCCUGAAGAUUCCAAGCCCUUUGCUGUACAUUAAAAUCCUCUUGGGAUGGUUUAAACAUUGUCACAUUGUCACAUCCUGGGCCCCAGCUCUUGAGAGUAUGAUUAUAGUUAAUCUGGGUUGGCUCAGAUACUAUAUUGUUUUAAAGCUCUCCAAGUGAUUACAGCUUGUAGUCAGGCGGGGCUGAAAACCGAGGAUGGAGGCCAAACCUCUCACUUAACCUGUGAGAGAGCCCUCGGACAAGACAGCUGGGGCUAUUUGCCCACAGCCUUGUCAUUCGUUACAGACAUGCACAGAACCAGUGCUCAGAUCUCUACUUCUAGGUCAGUGCUUGCCAUUUACAUUUGCUUUGCAUUUACUAUAUGUAGAUUUGCAAUGAAUAGCCAAAGUUUAUUACAUGUAAUUUCUGUUUAUUUUAUGUCAGAUUAAUAGUUUCAGAAUCAAACCUUGGAGCAGCUUUAAGUGGUAAGGGAUGUGAGAGGCAGGCUAUAAGGUAUCUGUAAGGUGCUUGGUUUCUGUGCCUCAGCUUUUCAUCUUAAAACUGAGUGUGUGUGUGUGUGUGUGUGUGUGUGUGUGGUGUGUGUGGUGUGUGUGUGUAUGUGUG
ensembl:lncRNA